GGGUAACACCCGUUCCCAUUCCGAACACGACGGUUAAGCCUUUAGAAGCCGAUGGUACUGCACGGGAGACUGUGUGGGAGAGUAGGUGGUCGCCA
rnacentral:rRNA from 1 species